ensembl:snRNA Gm22350 predicted gene, 22350
AUACUCACCUGUCAGAGGAGAUCCCCUGACCAUGAAGAUAGUUUUCCCAGGGUGAGGGUUAUCCUUUGCACUCUGGAUGUGCUGACACCUCCAGUCUAUCCCCAAAUGGGGGAAACUUAGCCACAUUUGGUAGUGAGAGACUUUGUGCUUUCCCCC